UAACCUGCCCAAGAGAUCGGGAUAACACCUGGAAACAGAUGCUAAUACCGGAUAACAACAGAUGAUGCCUAUCAACUGUUUAAAAGAUGGUUCUGCUAUCACUCUUGGAUGGACCUGCGGUGCAUUAGCUAGUUGGUAGGGUAACGGCCUACCAAGGCGAUGAUGCAUAGCCGAGUUGAGAGACUUAUCGGCCACAUUGGGACUGAGACACGGCCCAAACUCCUACGGGAGGCAGCAGCG
rnacentral:rRNA from 1 species